rnacentral:rRNA from 1 species
AGCGAACGCUGGCGGCAGGCCUAACACAUGCAAGUCGAACGGACCCUUCGGGGUUAGUGGCGGACGGGUGAGUAACACGUGGGAACGUGCCCUUUGGUUCGGAACAACACAGGGAAACUUGUGCUAAUACCGGAUAAGCCCUUCGGGGGAAAGAUUUAUUGCCAUUGGAGCGGCCCGCGUUGGAUUAGGUAGUUGGUGAGGUAAAGGCUCACCAAGCCUGCGAUCCAUAGCUGGUCUGAGAGGAUGAUCAGCCACAUUGGGACUGAGACACGGCCCAAACUCCUACGGGAGGCAGCAGUGGGGAAUCUUGCGCAAUGGGCGAAAGCCUGACGCAGCCAUGCCGCGUGAAUGAUGAAGGUCUUAGGAUUGUAAAAUUCUUUCAGCGGGGACGAUAAUGACGGUACCCGCAGAAGAAGCCCCGGCUAACUUCGUGCCAGCAGCCGCGGUAAUACGAAGGGGGCUAGCGUUGCUCGGAAUUACUGGGCGUAAAGGGAGCGUAGGCGGAUAGUUUAGUCAGAGGUGAAAGCCCAGGGCUCAACCUUGGAAAUGCCUUUGAUACUGGCUAUCUUGAGUAUGGGAGAGGUAAGCGGAAUUCCGAGUGUAGAGGUGAAAUUCGUAGAUAUUCGGAAGAACACCAGUGGCGAAGGCGGCUUACUGGCCCAUUACUGACGCUGAGGCUCGAAAGCGUGGGGAGCAAACAGGAUUAGAUACCCUGGUAGUCCACGCUGUAAACGAUGAGUGCUAGUUGUCGACAUGCAUGCAUGUCGGUGACGCAGCUAACGCCUUAAGCACUCCGCCUGGGGAGUACGGUCGCAAGAUUA